rnacentral:rRNA from 1 species
AUACGGAGGAUGCGAGCGUUAUCCGGAUUUAUUGGGUUUAAAGGGUGCGUAGGCUGUGCGUUAAGUCAGGGGUGAAAUGCCGUCGCUCAACGACGGAGCUGCCCUUGAUACUGGCGUGCUGGAGUACGGAUGCCGUUGGAGGAAUGAGUGGUGUAGCGGUGAAAUGCUUAGAUAUCACUCAGAACAACGAUUGCGAAGGCAUCUGACGAAUCCGUCACUGACGCUGAGGCACGAAAGCGUGGGGAUAGAACAGGAUUAGAUACCCUGGUAUUCCACGCCGUAAACGAUGAUGACUAACCGUCGGCGAUAGACAGCCGGUGGCCAAGCGAAAGCGAUAAGUCAUCCACCUGGGGAGUACGUCGGCAACGAUGAAACUCAAAUGAAUUGACGGGG